rnacentral:tRNA from 1 species
UAACAAAGAAGUAAAACCUUUACAUUUAGUUUCGGCCUAAAUUUAGAAUUAAUAUUAUUCCAUGUUUU